AUUCCCUCCCUGAGUAUAUGUUUUGAUCGGAGAAAAUAGAUAACUUGGUUUCUGAUGUUUGUGUUCUUGUUAUCUUAAAAGUUAUAAUUAGGAUAUAGGAUUUUGUUUUAGUAGUAUUUUAUCUACCAGCAUUUUUCAUUUAUGUGGCGUUGAGAUCUAUCUGAUUUCAAAAGACAGUCUUCUACAUGUACAGUCUUUAAUGUUGUUAUGGAUUGCUAUGUGUUUGCUAUCUCUGUAUGUAUGAUCAAGUGGUGCAAUGUGUGUGUGUGUGUGUUUGUCUCUCUUUAUCUGGUGUUGUGCCCAUUUUAGGAUGGACUGCAGACUAAAUCUGAGAUUAAUCACUGUCCUUUUGUUAGCAGAUAGAAUCCAUUGCACAUGACACCCCUCAACAGUUGUUUUUUCUUGUUGUUGCAAGCACAUGAUAUUAAAAAGGGAAUAACAUGAAAGAGUGAAGAAGAAAGAUGGAGUAGUUUAGGAGAAGAUGGUGGACUUUUGGGGUUGCAUUGUUGUCAUGUAAAUGAUUCAAGAAAUUGCAGGAGAUGAUAAAAG